UACGUAGGGACCGAGCGUUGUCCGGAUUCAUUGGGCGUAAAGAGCUCGUAGGCGGCCACUCAAGUCGAAUGUGAAACCUCGAGGCUUAACCUCGAGCCUGCAUUCGAUACUGGGCGGCUAGAGUCUGGUAGGGGGAUCUGGAAUUCUCGGUGUAGCGGUGAAAUGCGUAGAUAUCGAGAGGAACACCUGCGGCGAGGGCGGGUUGCUGGGCCGACACUGACGCUGAUGCGCGAAAGCCAGGGGAGCGAACGGG
rnacentral:rRNA from 1 species